GUUCUCUUCUCCGGCAACCACAGCAACCGUCCGAUCAGCAACGCCGGCGAAACAGCGUCCCUCGUUCUCUUCCCCUGCUCUACCCCCAAAAACUCCUAGAUGAGUGCAUAAAUCCCGUCCGACAAAACAGCAUAAAUCCUGUCCGACGAAACAGCAUAAAUCCCUCCGAUCUGCGUAAAUCCCGUCCGACGAAACAGCGUUUGAUUCAUACCUCCGAUCAGCACCGUCCGACUCCGUCCAUCCCUACCGCCUCCACCAUUCGCCGUCGACGAUCUGCACCAGACACUCCGCCGCGAGGUCCCGGUCUCCGUAUUUCUUCCGAGCGAUGUACACAUGUGAGACGUCGUUAACGAGAAAAGUGGAGAAGGAAGGUCGAUAAGGAUGAUUCACGUAUGUUUGU
rnacentral:lncRNA from 1 species